GCCCGAGUGGCGGAAUAGGUAGACGCAACGGACUUAAAAUCCGUCAGUCUCGCAACUGUGCCGGUUCAAGUCCGGCCUCGGGUA
rnacentral:tRNA from 1 species